UCAGUCGCCCCAGUCACAGAAUGCGAACAUGGUGUGCCCAGGGACUCCGUUGUCGGAGGCGAAGUUUCCGCCUAUACCAUCCACUUUAAGGCGGUCGACGUCGGACCCAAAUCCGUAUCCGGCCCCUACUUGUUCCAGUUCACAUGACGGGGUGGGAGAGUACGAUCUUCCUAAUGCAAAGUGGGCGAGGGAGGUUAGUAAUCUUAUGAAACAAGUGACUCGAAAAUGGGAU